UGUAUUUAUAUAUUUGUGCAGACACAUGUAGCAAUAAUAAUUUGAGAAGAAGCUAUUAAUUUAAGAGUGAUGGGAGGGAUAUGAAGGAAGGAGGAAAAUGACUUGGAAGGGGUCGGAAGGAGGAUAGUAAAGGGGCAAAGUGAUAUAAUUAUAUUUUAAUUAAAGCUAUAAAAAUAAAAAUAAAAUUACAAUAGACAUAGGAAUUGAAGCUAAACAAGGUAUUUCUGAAAUUUACACACACACACACAUCAGGACAAAGAAAGGAAGCCAUUAUAGAUGUUUACAUAAGUAUAUAUACAUGUAGCUUAUAUGUUUGUAUAUACUAUAGAUAAUAUAACAUAUAUAAACAGUAAAAAUAGGGGAAUACAGAAUUAUUGUGCAUGGGGAUUGUUACUAGUUUUGUAAUCUACUAGAACAUAUUUAAAAGUUAUAUUGGCUAAAAAAACAAUAUGAAAAUCACUUGAAACACAAAUUAUUUAAGAAAACCAACACACACACAUAUAUCACACACUGUAUAAAAUAGGUGAGGUCAGUAUUUUGUGUCAAGGGAGAUUAUUUUCUAGGUACUAAUCAUACUGGUAUCAACUGAUAGCAACUGUGAGAAGUCAAACUCGUAGAUUUUAUACUUUACAUAAAAAUGCAUGUCUAAUGUUUCAUAGUAAGAAAUGUUUGAAAACUCAGAAUUUUAAGUUGGAAGCACUAAUUAUCCCAUAGCAAACUGUAAAAAAAAAAAACAAAAAAAAAAAUUAAAGCGCAAAUGAGAUAUCCCAAAAAAGUUAUAAGUGCAGACUGGGGUUCAGAGUAAGGUGCUCACCCAGCAUGUUCAAGUUUUACAGUUGAAUCCUCAACAGCAUGCCUGUGAUAACACACACACCUGCACACACACAUAUACUAAACACAUAUACCAAAGACACACACAAAUACAUACAUACAUGGACACACACAAACACACAGAUACACAUACACAUAUAUAUACACACACAAACACACCAGAUAAAGAUCAGUCACAAGAACCUGAGUGCUUAAAGUGUUUCUAUAAGCAUCACUGUUCAAGUAAAGGAACAACUAAUACAGCAAACUUGUAUGUCUAUGUAGUGGGCCACAAAUUCUGUGAUUCUGGCUUUGCUCGUUGCACCCUGGCUUGGCCUUGAUCUGUUGCCUUAUUUUCACAGUUGGCUGCAUGAAUGUAAACAUCAGUGAGCUAGAGUCAUAGCUAGUCCCAGGACUCUGAAAUAUACAAACUCCCCAUGUUGUCAGUUCUCAGGGGAAAUAAAGGGCGGAGGCUGCGUCCCCACCUGCACUUGCCUGCUACCACUGUGCAGGGCUUUGCGGCUCCCUUUGCAUUUCAGUGACAUCUACUAUGGAAUUAGGAAUUCAUCCCAGCACUACUUGAAGGUAUGGUGGGACCUACUGCUAUAUAAUUAUGCCAAAGGUAAAACCAUGCAAUAGAUCUACAGUGUGUGUGUGUGUGUGUGUGUGUGUGUGUGUGUGUACACUGUCAUUCAGACAACAACCAGUUAGAAAGAAUAAUUCUUUCUAGGAAUUCUGUAGCUAACAGUUGGUAGGCUGCUGGUCCAAUUCAGCAUCUUCAUUUCAAACAAAGAAGAGGAACAUGGCACCUGUGACACAGGUUGUCAGCUGGGCUGUAGUGCAGUGGUAGAGGACCCUCCCUGGCUUGUGCACAGUCCUGGGUUCCCUCUGCAGCACUGCAAAAGAGAAAAUUAGUAAAAUUGAGUGAGUGGAUAUGUUGUGGCUGUUUUUACUCUUUGCUCUUUUGGGGACCUGCCACCCAGCUCCCAAAUAAACACAUAUGGAGUCUUGUUAUUACUAAUGAAUGUCUGACAUUAGCUUGGCUUCUUUCUAGCCAUUUUGUCUUGACUUAUAUAUAAAUUAUACUGUCUGUCUUUUGCCUCUGGACUCUUAUCUUUCUCUAUUCUGUGUAUCUUUCUUUACUUCUUACUCUAUGACUUGCUGUGGAGCUGGUUGGCUGGCCCCCGAUGUCCUCCUCUUUUUCUUGCUUCUUCUCCUUCCUUUCCCCUGUUUUUCCCCCUGUUAAUCCUCUUUGCCUGCCAGCUCCACCUACCCUUUCUCUGGCCUUGCUAUUGGCUGUUCAGCUCUUUAUUAGAUCAAUCAGGUGUUUGUAGCACAGCUUCACAGAGUUAAACAAAUACGACAUAAAAGAAUGCAACACAUCUUUGAAUCAUUAACAUAAAUGUUCCACAACAUAAACAAAUGUAGCACAUCUUAAAAUGUUCCACACCAUGGAUAAAUAAACAAUUGUCCACCUUAGUUCAAUCAUUAGUAUUCUGCUUUCACUCAAGUCUGAGUCUACAGUGUUAGGAAAAGCAUCUAGGUUACCUGUAGAGUGUGAAAGAAAAUCAAAUAAGGAAAGACAUCAACAUUUAGAGUAUAUUUUAUCUUCAGAUUCUACUCUCCAGUCUUCAUUCACUGUAUUUUGAAAAUGUAGCCAUGCCUUGUCCAUGACUAUGCUAAUUAUGUCUGCAUCUCCUGGUUUGGCCUUGAGUGGUUUAUCUUCAACAGGGAGCACAGAAACCAGCCUUCUUACUGCUCACUCUUCAGGGUCUUGCCCUUCUGUUUUAGGAUGCCUACGGUCAGAAAAGAUUGCUGCGUCUGUGGAAACAAAGAUUUCCUCUGUGCCAUACUGAGUGACAUCAUUUCCUUCAAGACAUGGGUCCAAACUUUCCCAAAACAUUAGCUGUCUUUUCUCCCCCUCUGAAUUACUUCUUUUCAGGUUGUGCCUUGGUUAUAUAUUGCAUCAACUUUUAGAAUUAUGUAUUAUAAUUAAUAAAUUUUAUCUUUUCUUUCAUUCAGAUCAACAGGCACCAUGAGGUACUCACAAAAGGCAGAAAAGUCUAUUAAAUAUUUUAUGAAAUUUUCUUUCUUGGGGUACACAGUCUGUGGAAGAAAUGGGAGGAAAAUAUUCAAAGCAGCCUUUUAAAAUCACUUAUGGAAGGAACCCUGUGUGGUGGCUCAACCCUUCAAUCCCAGCGCUUGGAAGGCAGAAGCAGGCCCAUCUAUCUCUGUGAGUUGGAGGGCAGCCUGGUCCCCGUAGCAAGUUCCUGAACAGCCAGAAAUAGAGAAACUCUGUCUCAAAAACAAGCAACAAACAAACAAACAAACCCCAUAGCAACAUAGAAAACUAAAAACACACACAAAAAAAUUACAUAUGGGUUUUUGUCUUCAACCAACUCAUUAUAUUUAUUGUGUAAGUACACCGAAUCAGAAGAAAGUUUUGUACUUAUUUCAGAAAAAAUUUACUUUUUUCACACAGCUAUAUUUGAUAGACACAGCAAGCAAUGGCGAUGUGUUAGCCGUCAUUGACUUCAGUAGUAAAUGCUCGAGGAUGGCAUUGGACAAUGAUUAAACUUUGCUGUAAAUUUCAUAUUUUUUUAUUUAAUAAAGAGUUGAAAAGUCUUCAUUCACCAUACUGUGUAUUCAAGUGUUAAGUGGACAUAAGCAAAAAUGAUUUAAGCAAGGAAUGUUCGGUGGUAUAUGUACCCCUGGCCCUCGGCACUUAGAAAGGAAGAGUUGUCACUUCAAGGCAAGCCUAGAUUACAAAUCUGAGGCCCUACCUCAAAAGAAAAAAAUAUAAAAUAUAAUUUUAUAACUGUGAUAACUGUAUGAAAAAUCAUGAACUUGUCAAACAAUUUGACUGAAAGAAAACUUUAAAUAUGUGGAUUUGGACAUUCUUUCGCAUGCUAUGAGUACAGUAUCUGAAGAAUGGUUUUUAAUACCAUAAAGUAUAUAGGAAGAGCAAACUUCAGACUAUGGAGAAUUGGAAAUUUGCUAAGAAGAAAAAAACUGUGGUUGGCAAUUGGCUCAGGGUUUAAAAGAGUUUGCCAACAAGCCCUAUUGAUUAUCUGAGUUCUAUCCUUGGAACUUUGAUUGCUGAAAGAGGAGAGAAAAGACUCUCAAAGUUAUCCUCUGACUUCCAUGCUCCCAUAAAAGACUGGCAGUGCAUACACAUACAGAAAUAAAUAAAGGUAAUUAAAAAAGAGCUUAGAUGAAAAAUUUAGGUAGAGAUGAAAGAUACUAGAAGAAGGAAGAAUAGUAAAUAAGCCUAUUAACAUUAAUGAUCCAUGACAUAAGGUCUUGAAAGAUGUUUGCAGAGGAGCGGACAGAUCUGGAUGAUGUGAUAAAAUGAGAAUUCCACAUUUCCUGAUUUUUGUGGGCAGGAAGAGGCAAUGAAAACCUAUUUUGUGCCACAGAUUUCAGAGGUCCCUCAAAGACAGGGUAGCAUCUUUUCCUUUUUGUGUUAGUCGGCUUCUGUUGCUAUGACAAAUUACCAGAAAACAUUAUUUCGAAGGAUGAAAGUUUUGUAAUAAUGCCUGGUAUUAAGAUUGCCUUGGGGCCAUCACCUUCUGAUGGGUAAGGGACAGAAGAAGAGGAAGAUGGAAGGAGAGAAAAAGAAUGAGGACUCAGAAGGACCAAGGACAAAAUAAAUCUUUAAAAGGUCUGUGGUUUCUUGUCCCCAGGACCCAGCAUUCAGAGGAGCAAGUUGCCACUGGAGUUUGCAUAGACUGAGGAAGAAAUGUAUAAUCAUAGGGUUUCCUUGCUUGAUGGGAAGAAAUGAAGAACAAUCAAAUUAGAUCUUCUGACCUCUCACUUCUGACCUCCAGCUAAGUCUUUACAAAACAACCAGAACAAGCCUAUUAAUGCCCAUUAUUUUCAAUGGGGAAGCAGCUUUGGGAGCUUCAGUUAUUGACUCAAUUACUGACAGAUGUCUGUGCAGAGAGCAGACCACAGCGCUCUGUCGGGUGGGCUUUCCUGGAUGCUGAAGUCAUGAGGGGAAGGUUUUGCAAGAGAGAAGCUUUGAGGAAGACACAUGGGGAAGAGGAUGGGCACUGGGUUGCAAAAUCCUGUCAAUCAAUCAAACCCAAGCCAGGUUUCCCUUAAUUCUUCAAAUCUUGUAUAUUUUAAGGAAAUUUUUGUCUUAGUCACAUACUCUGAAAUCAUGGAACAUUUAAAACAACUGUUUCAUAUCCAGAAAGGAAUUUUGACAUUUUUGUUUCUCCCCAAACCCCAGUUGAAUCCAGAUCUGUAUUUCUUCAUUAGAAGUUGAUUUCAGAAUCAAAGACAGAAGUUUAUUUUAAAACUUUAAAUUGAUUCUUCCUAAGCAAAUGUUUAAAAGCUGGGCAUGGUGGGCAUGACUGGAUUGCUUGUUCUGGGAAGACCAAGGUGAGAGAGUUGAGAGUUCAAACCCAGCCAGGCAUAGCAGAGUGUUGAAAGAGACAAAUAAGAGAGUAUUUUCACCUAGAUAAUAUGUAAUUAUGUGAAAUUUUUGAUCACUUAAGUAUAUUCAAUAACAGAAUCUGAGAUAGCAUUUUUUUUGUUAUUUUUUUCUUUUUUUUAUUUUUGAGAUGGCUUUCAUUUGGGGAAAUUUGAAAUGUCAAAUGUCAAAAAUCUUUUGUUUUUCAGAGGACAAAAUGACCAAGGCAAAAUUGUUGGUUCAGAGGUUAAGAGUAUUGGCUGCUCUUCCAGAGGGCCUGAGUUCAAUUCCCAGCAAUCACAUGGUGGCUCACAACCAUCUAUAAUGAGACCUGGUGUCCUCUUCUGACAUGUACGCAUAUAAAAUUAUGCAGCACAUUGUAUGCAUAAUAAAUAAAUCAAUCUUUUUUUUAAAUAUAGAGUUCUUAUGGUGGUUUUCUAUUUGGAACAAUCAGUUAAGUUAACCCAGUUUUAUAAGAUACCAGUCAAUGUUUUAUAUAUAGAACUUUGCUAUAAACUAUUGGUUUAGGAAGUAGAAAGAUGGUUCAGAAGUCAAGAGCAUAUGCUAUUACAGAGAUCCCAAGUUCCUUUCCCAGCAGCCAUACUGGACAGCUCACAUCUGCCUAUAACUCCUAUUAGGAAUCAGGUCUCCUGCAGCCCCUGCCCACAACCCACCUUCAGCCACUCAGUGCCCACAGCCUCAUUAUCAUCAGAUGCCAAAUGCGACA